ACGCACGCUGGCGGCGUGCUUAACACCUGCAAGUCGCACGGAAAGGCCCUGCUUUUGUGGGGUGCUCGAGUGGCGAACGGGUGAGUAACACGUGAGUAACCUGCCCUUGACUUUGGGAUAACUUCAGGAAACUGGGGCUAAUACCGGAUAGGAGCUCCUGCUGCAUGGUGGGGGUUGGAGAGUUUCGGCGGUUGGGGAUGGACUCGCGGCUUAUCAGCUUGUUGGUGGGGUAGUGGCUUACCAAGGCUUUGACGGGUAGCCGGCCUGAGAGGGUGACCGGCCACAUUGGGACUGAGAUACGGCCCAGACUCCUACGGGAGGCAGCAGUGGGGAAUAUUGCACAAUGGGCGGAAGCCUGAUGCAGCAACGCCGCGUGCGGGAUGACGGCCUUCGGGUUGUAAACCGCUUUCGCCUGUGACGAAGCGUGAGUGACGGUAAUGGGUAAAGAAGCACCGGCUAACUACGUG
rnacentral:rRNA from 1 species